UGGGGAAUAUUGCGCAAUGGGGGAAACCCUGACGCAGCAACGCCGCGUGGAGGAAGAAGGUCUUCGGAUUGUAAACUCCUGUUGUUGAGGAAGAUAAUGACGGUACUCAACAAGGAAGUGACGGCUAACUACGUGCCAGCAGCCGCGGUAAUACGUAGGGAGCAAGCGUUAUCCGGAUUUACUGGGUGUAAAGGGCGCGCAGGCGGGCCGGCAAGUUGGAAGUGAAAUCCGGGGGCUUAACCCCCGAACUGCUUUCAAAACUGCUGGUCUUGAGUGAUGGAGAGGCAGGCGGAAUUCCGUGUGUAGCGGUGAAAUGCGUAGAUAUUCGGAGGAACACCAGUGGCGAAGGCGGCUUGCUGGGCUUUAACUGACGCUGAGGCUCGAAAGUGUGGGGAGCAAACAGGAUUAGAUACCCUGGUAGUCCACACUGUAAACGAUGAUAGCUAGGUGUGGGGGGUCUGACCCCUUCCGUGCCGGAGUUAACGCAAUAAGCUAUCCACCUGGGGAGUACGACCGCAAGGUUGAAACUCAAAGGAAUUGACGGGGGCCCGCACAAGCAGUGGAUUAUGUGGUUUAAUUCGACGCAACGCGAAGAACCUUACCAAGUCUUGACAUCCGUUGACCGACAUAGAAAUAUGUUUUUCCUUCGGGACAGCGAGACAGGUGGUGCAUGGUUGUCGUCAGCUCGUGUCGUGAGAUGUUGGGUUAAGUCCCGCAACGAGCGCAACCCCUAUCCUUAGUAGCCAGCGGUCCGGCCGGGCACUCUGAGGAGACUGCCAGGGAUAACCUGGAGGAAGGCGGGGAUGACGUCAAAUCAUCAUGCCCCUUAUGAUUUGGGCUACACACGUGCUACAAUGGCGUAAACAAAGGGAAGCGAACCUGUGAGGGUGGGCAAAUCUCAAAAAUAACGUCCCAGUUCGGACUGCAGUCUGCAACUCGACUGCACGAAGCUGGAAUCGCUAGUAAUCGCGGAUCAGAAUGCCGCGGUGAAUACGUUCCC
rnacentral:rRNA from 1 species